UGAUCAAUGAUGUCAACAAGUCUCUGAGGAUGGUGAUUGAUUCAUAACUCUGCCAAUCUGAGCACC
rfam:Mesocricetus auratus contig197535, whole genome shotgun sequence.